rnacentral:rRNA from 1 species
AGCCUGAGACACGAUGACGAGUGAAAAAUAGUAACGAAGUCCUUGAUCCUCCGCUGCCAAGAAAAGCUGCUAAGGAAUAUAGAGGUGCCCGUACCGCAAACCGACACAGGUAGACAGGUAGAGAAUACUAAGGCGCGCGAGAUAACUCUUGUUAAGGAACUCUGCAAAAUGAACCCGUAACUUCGGGAGAAGGGUUGCUCUCUAGCGUGAGUAUGAGCAAUACAGAGCGCAGGAGAGUCGCAGUGAAAAGGUCCAGGCGACUGUUUAGCAAAAACACAGGUCAUUGCAAAAUCGCAAGAUGAAGUAUAAUGGCUGACGCCUGCCCGGUGCUGGAAGGUUAAGGGGAAGAGUGCAAGCUUUGAACCGAAGCCCCAGUAAACGGCGGCCGUAACAAUAACGGUCCUAAGGUAGCGAAAUUCCUUGUCGGGUAAGUUCCGACCCGCACGAAAGGCGAAACGAUCAGGACGCUGUCUCAACAAGGGACUCGGUGAAAUUGAAAUUCCGGUAAAGAUGCCGGAUACCUGCGAUAGGACAGAAAGACCCCAUGGAGCUUUACUGUAGCCUGAUAUUGGGUUUCGGAUAUUCAUGUACAGGAUAGGUGGGAGACUAAGAAGCAUGGACGCCAGUUUGUGCGGAGUCACUGGUGGGAUACCACCCUUAAAUGUUUGGAAUUCUAACAAGGAGUCUUGAAGCAGAUUAUUGGACAGUGUCAGGUGGGCAGUUUGACUGGGGCGGUCGCCUCCCAAAAGGUAACGGAGGCGCUCAAAGGUUCCCUCAGAACGGAUGGAAAUCGUUCGCAGAGUGCAAAGGCAGAAGGGAGCUUGACUGCGAGAGCCACAACUCGAGCAGAUAGGAAACUAGGACUUAGUGAUCCGGCGGUCGCGAGUGGAAGUGCCGUCGCUCAACGGAUAAAAGCUACCCUGGGGAUAACAGGCUUAUCUCCCCCAAGAGUUCACAUCGACGGGGAGGUUUGGCACCUCGAUGUCGGCUCAUCGCAUCCUGGGCUGAAGUAGGUCCCAAGGGUUGGGCUGUUCGCCCAUUAAAGCGGUACGCGAGCUGGGUUCAGAACGUCGUGAGACAGUUCGGUCCCUAUCCAUCGCGGGCGUAGGAAAUUUGAAGGGAGCUGACCCUAGUACGAGAGGACCGGGUUGGACAGACCGCUGGUGAACCAGUUGUUCUGCCAAGAGCAUAGCUGGGUAGCUAAGUCUGGAAAAGAUAAACGCUGAAAGCAUCUAAGCGUGAAGCGAACCUUAAGAUGAGAUUUCCCACAACGAAAGUUGAUAAGACACCAGAGAGAAUAACUGGUAGAUAGCUCAGGAGUGUAAGUGUGGUGACACAUUGAGCGGACUGAUACUAAUAAGUCGAAGACUUAGCC